AAAUAACAAACAUUACUUAAUUAAAAAAUUAUAAAUAGUUGUACAGACGGAUCUCCCACUCAGCUUCAAAUAUAAAAACAUAAAUGGAAAAAGGUUUACUUGGCCAAAAAGCCAUAAAAACAGAAUUUUUUCCGACAAAUUUUUGAGCAUUUUGCAAUUCUAUCAGAAAUUAUGCAGUGCUUCUUGGCAAACUGUUCAGAACGCAUAUUUAAAGGUUAGUACAUAAGAUUUGAUAUGCUGAUUAGAAUUGUUCAUAAAACUUAUACUUGCAACUGAGUAAAGCAGGUCUACCAGCGACUAAUAAAGACGAUAAACCUGUACGAUUAAUCAUUAAAAGUACCUAAAAAUUACAAAUGCUCUACAAUUUAAAUAAUGCAUAAGAUGUAUGAGAUGAGUAAACAUAUAAAAAAAUGAUAAAACAUAUGAUAUAAUAUAUCUUAAAUUUAUGCAAUGAUAUACCAAAUAAUGCAUAUUCGGAAGAAAUACGAUAUACAGGAUAAAAGAGACUAAUAUGGUGUACGGAUCAGAAAAUUCUUACGAUAUAUAUGACACAUUUUUUUACUUAUAAUUAAAUUUCAGCAUCUAAUGCAUCUAAAAAACUGAGCAAAUAGUAGAACAAAAAGAUUUAGUAAGACACCAAGUUUACGUCAAAUUGUUUAAAGAACUGAAAUAUUACUCAUUAUCUAUAUAAUGUUAAAUUUUCAUACCGUUCGAGGAAAAUUUAGUCUGUUUCUGCUUCUGUAUGCAUAUUUGAUUCUAUCUUGCGAGUUUUUUUAUGUUCUUCCAUGUCAAAGUGCCGUAAAAACAGUAAUUUUUCAAGCAGUUGUAGAGUCUUCCACACUUCUAUCGUUAAUUUAAUAUGGGAUUCUUGGCAACCCUUCAGUCUGUUGAUUCCGAUGCAAAACAAACUCUAUUUUCUUCUGAUAGUGUAGGUCGAACUCGAAAAUUUCUAAACCAACCACAACAAGCUUGCCUACAACAAUUUAGAAGAAAAACUAAUGUAAACGAACCUCCGCUUUAUGAAAUCCGGACUACGACAUGCAUUUCGUUAUAAAUUUGAUUGACGUUGAAGGCUUGAAGCAGGCAGGCGUUGGAAAUUUGGGUUAAGAAACUGAAUUAGUUUUGAGAAGUUGAAGAGUCUUAAACAAAAGCUAAAAGGGAUAGCAGUUGAGGAAAAGAGGGAAUCUGAUGCGGCUCUUUAU
rnacentral:lncRNA from 1 species